GGACACGUGGUAUCCUGUCUGAAUAUGGGGGGACCAUCCUCCAAGGCUAAAUACUCCUGACUGACCGAUAGUGAACCAGUACCGUGAGGGAAAGGCGAAAAGAACCCCGGCGAGGGGAGUGAAAAAGAACCUGAAACCGUGUACGUACAAGCAGUGGGAGCACAGGUUUACCUGUGUGACUGCGUACCUUUUGUAUAAUGGGUCAGCGACUUAUAUUCUGUAGCAAGGUUAACCGCAUAGGGGAGCCGGAGGGAAACCGAGUCUUAAUUGGGCGUUAAGUUGCAGGGUAUAGACCCGAAACCCGGUGAUCUAGCCAUGGGCAGGUUGAAGGUUGGGUAACACUAACUGGAGGACCGAACCGACUAAUGUUGAAAAAUUAGCGGAUGACCUGUGGCUGGGGGUGAAAGGCCAAUCAAACCGGGAGAUAGCUGGUUCUCCCCGAAAGCUAUUUAGGUAGCGCCUCGUGAAUUCAUCUCCGGGGGUAGAGCACUGUUUCGGCUAGGGGGCCAUCCCGGCUUACCAACCCGAUGCAAACUGCGAAUACCGGAGAAUGUUAUCACGGGAGACACACGGCGGGUGCUAACGUCCGUCGUGAAGAGGGAAACAACCCAGACCGCCAGCUAAGGUCCCAAAGUCAUGGUUAAGUGGGAAACGAUGUGGGAAGGCCCAGACAGCCAGGAUGUUGGCUUAGAAGCAGCCAUCAUUUAAAGAAAGCGUAAUAGCUCACUGGUCGAGUCGGCCUGCGCGGAAGAUGUAACGGGGCUAAACCAU
rnacentral:rRNA from 2 species